AGAAUGACUCUCGGCAACGGAUAUCUAGGCUCUUGCAUCGAUGAAGAACGUAGCGAAAUGCGAUACUUGGUGUGAAUUGCAGAAUCCCGUGAACCAUCGAGUCUUUGAACGCAAGUUGCGCCCGAUGCCAUUAGGUUGAGGGCACGUCUGCCUGGAUGUCACAU
rnacentral:rRNA from 1 species